AUCUCCACUGCCAUUCCGCCUAUUUCACCAUGGUUGCCUUCGAACAUCUUCAAUUCGUGCUUCUCCAAUUGUGGGUGACAAACACCGUCCCUUGAUUGGUUUAAAGUGAAUCCUUUUCCAGCUUGCAAGAUUAUGAAAGGGAUAGAGAUUGUGAGAUGCUCGUACCCACUUGUAAUUGGAUGGUACCAAGAUCCUCAGCCACAUGCACUGAAGAUCUGACCUUGUGACCUCUCAAUCUACUGAGAGUCCAUUUUUGUUGGCUGGUGUAAUUAAGCUAAGUUGCAAUUUCACCUUUUGUGUAGCUUGUCAGGUUGUAAAUACGUCAUGUGAAACAACUUGCUUUAGCCUUUUCAGUCUUUCUAGCUCUUUGAAACUGCUAGCCUCAAAUAACAACUUUGCUAUUUAUCACUGUUUAAAAUCUUUUCGCCUGCACUUGUUAACUGAUGGAAGAAUGUGUAUGUGAACUCCUUGUGUUCCAAUGCUAUGUUGGCCAGAUAAUCUACUAAUUAAUUGCC